AAGAAGAAGGUCUCAGCUUGUUUAACUCACCACCACCAUCUGUCGAUGAUUCAAAGAGAGGGUUGAAUCCGUGGUGGUGGUAAGAAUCUAAGGGGUUCAAUGGUGGAGGAGAAGCCAAAGGGGUGUCAAUGGUUAACAUAAGGUCACUCAAGCUCCUUGUUCUUGAUCCUUUCCUGCUUUUUUCACCUUUAGACCUCCCAUCUUCUGAGUCAAGGUCUUCCUUUGUUUCUUCAUUGAUAGUGAAGAGGAAUCUUGGUGGACCAGCAAGGUUGUGGAGCCUCAUUAGCUCUGAUUCAACACCUUCUUCACCAAACCCCUUUAGCAGCAAAUCCUUGGUUGAACCAUGCUCCAAAUCUGGC
rnacentral:lncRNA from 1 species